CGGAACCCAAAUGAACCAUUCUGAACCCAAAUGAAUCAUUCGGAACCCAAAUGAACCAUUCUGAAACCAAAUUGAACAGCAGUGUUCUGGUUUGGCUUGUUGAGGUAAGAGAGCAGAUUGGUUAUCUGUGAGUUGUAACCCCACCCCCUCUCUGAUCCUCCGCCCAUUCAGGAGAGACCAUGACUAUUCUAAACACGGCUGAUUGGCUGCUGGGCUGCAGUAGCCCGCCCCCUGGCCACAGUGGAAAGGACUAUGUUAAAACAGAACCUAAUAACAUCAGUGAGACAGCCAGGACUACAGGAGACACAACACUGGACAGCUACGCAGGAUCAGUCAUUACCAGCAGUGGAUACAGCCCUCCAUCUGCACACCAGUACUCCCCACCCAUCUACCCCUCCAAGUAAGUCCUCUAAUGUAUUAUAUUACUAUAUAACUAUACUAUACACUAUUACUAUAUUAUAUUACUAUAUUAUAUUACUUUAUAA
rnacentral:lncRNA from 1 species